GAUGAACGCUGGCGGCGUGCUUAACACAUGCAAGUCGAACGAGGAAGCCCAGCUUGCUGGGUGGAUUAGUGGCGAACGGGUGAGUAACACGUGAGUAACCUGCCCUUAACUCUGGGAUAAGCCUGGGAAACUAGGUCUAAUACCGGAUAGGAGCGCCUACCGCAUGGUGGGUGUUGGAAAGAUUUAUCGGUUUUGGAUGGACUCGCGGCCUAUCAGCUUGUUGGUGAGGUAAUGGCUCACCAAGGCGACGACGGGUAGCCGGCCUGAGAGGGUGACCGGCCACACUGGGACUGAGACACGGCCCAGACUCCUACGGGAGGCAGCAGUGGGGAAUAUUGCACAAUGGGCGCAAGCCUGAUGCAGCGACGCCGCGUGAGGGAUGACGGCCUUCGGGUUGUAAACCUCUUUCAGUAGGGAAGAAGCGAAAGUGACGGUACCUGCAGAAGAAGCACCGGCUAACUACGUG
rnacentral:rRNA from 1 species